rnacentral:rRNA from 1 species
UGCAGCAACGCCGCGUGAGGGAUGACGGCCUUCGGGUUGUAAACCUCUUUUAGUAGGGAAGAAGGGAGCUUGCUCUUGACGGUACCUGCAGAAAAAGCACCGGCUAACUACGUGCCAGCAGCCGCGGUAAUACGUAGGGUGCAAGCGUUGUCCGGAAUUAUUGGGCGUAAAGAGCUCGUAGGCGGUUUGUCGCGUCUGCUGUGAAAUCCCGAGGCUCAACCUCGGGCUUGCAGUGGGUACGGGCAGACUAGAGUGCGGUAGGGGAGAUUGGAAUUCCUGGUGUAGCGGUGGAAUGCGCAGAUAUCAGGAGGAACACCGAUGGCGAAGGCAGAUCUCUGGGCCGUAACUGACGCUGAGGAGCGAAAGCAUGGGGAGCGAACAGGAUUAGAUACCCUGGUAGUCCAUGCCGUAAACGUUGGGCGCUAGAUGUAGGGACCUUUCCACGGUUUCUGUGUCGUAGCUAACGCAUUAAGCGCCCCGCCUGGGGAGUACGGCCGCAAGGCUAAAACUCAAAGGAAUUGACGGGGGCCCGCACAAGCGGCGGAGCAUGCGGAUUAAUUCGAUGCAACGCGAAGAACCUUACCAAGGCUUGACAUACACCGGAAACGGCCAGAGAUGGUCGCCCCCUU